UACGGGGGGGGCAAGCGUUGUUCGGAAUUACUGGGCGUAAAGGGCUCGUAGGCGGCCAACUAAGUCAGACGUGAAAUCCCUCGGCUUAACCGGGGAACUGCGUCUGAUACUGGAUGGCUUGAAUCCGGGAGAGGGAUGCGGAACUCCAGGUGUAGCGGUGAAAUGCGUAGAUAUCUGGAGGAACACCGGUGGCGAAGGCGGCAUCCUGGACCGGCAUUGACGCUGAGGCGCGAAAGCCAGGGGAGCAAACGGG
rnacentral:rRNA from 1 species